CUGUUAAACUCCUUUCUAAGCUAAUCGUCUUGGGGCCAAUGUGGUACUCAUGCUAUCAGCAAUGUCUUUUUGCAGUUUUCUGACCGCUGGGUGACAGAAACAAUUUCCUGACCAUAGUGAUCCUGAAAGCUAGUUAUAACCCCUGGGCUAUGCUCAUCCAUGUUCUUUCUCCCUUCCAGGAAUGAUGAUGACCAGAGUGCCUUGGAAGCCAUUUUGAAGAAGGCAGAUAUGACAACACGCUGGGUCUACAGAAGCGGCGCUGCUUGUCAAUAUGGAAUACCCAUAGUUGAUUCUUAUGAACUCACACAGUUCAAAGAGUGGAAUGUCAUCAAGGCAUUGCCUGAUGCAUCUGUCACCACACUCACUGGAGGGAAUUAAUCUAGGAAUAGGCAGGUUCCAGGGACCAUCAGCAACAUACCAAACCACAGCGAGAAAUCAAGCAUGACUCAGCUCCUGCCCACUGCAAUUACUCAGGACCUCUGCCCUUCAGAUGUGGGGAAAAGCCCAGCAGUGUCUUGCAGUAACUGCUGCUCAGGUCUGGAACUUCCUGACAAAUUACCUAGCAAGUCCUUUGCUAAGGGGAGGCUCAAACUGGAUUUCAGAAGACCCACCUGACCAGGAUGACUGAAACAAACUGUGGACUGGGUACCAAUCCAAAGGAUAAUAUUGUAGCGUCAGGAAUAAAAUAAAUUUCAACUCAAUAAGAAGCCUAACU
rnacentral:lncRNA from 1 species